rfam:Mesocricetus auratus contig143595, whole genome shotgun sequence.
AUGAGGGAGAUUUGGCUGUGCCAUUGUUACACCAUUGAUUGCCAGGAAUGAUUAAGCUGAUCUGACUGGUUAUGUGGGUGUUCCUUUCCUCCUUCCCCACUCUGUGUGUAUCCCUCCCAAAGCUUAGGGCUCCAUCAAAGAGGGCAGCCUUCCCUGAAUGGCGGAGGACAAGUAUUCAGUCUAGGGUGUGCAAGUAUCUGUGCUCCCCUGCUAUAUCCUCUAAACAAGCUUUCAUGCACUUAAUUCUUCACUGCAAUUGUCCAGUGAACUCCACUCAAAGUGAAGUAUUUCCCCUGUGCUAAAUGACUGUCUUU